rnacentral:lncRNA from 1 species
UGUAUAUAUAGUUAAGUAGAUCUAUGUUCUAGUACUCUUUGCUAUCAUACUCGAGGGGAAAAAAUACAAGAAAGAAAGAAUAAAGAAAAAGGAAAGAAUGACAUUAAAGCCUGGAAAAGUAACAGGGCCAGCAGCUGAAUUCCUCCUUUUUGUCCUAUGAUGCAUCAUCAUGAUGAUGCUCUCGCCCCCACUCCACCAUAGCUUAUUAAUAAAAUCCUCAGUUUCCCACAAGACUCUCGCCAGUUUCUUUGCAGGUUUCAAUUUCCCUUCGGUCCGCCCACUCCCAUGCAUUAAAUUGCUUC